rnacentral:rRNA from 1 species
AUUGAACGCUGGCGGCAGGCCUAACACAUGCAAGUCGAGCGAUCGGCGGACGGGUGAGUAAUGUCGGGGACACUGCCUGAUGGAGGGGGAUAACUACUGGAACCGGUAGCUAAUACCGCAUACCAUCAGAUGUGCCCAGAUGGGAUUAGCUAGUAGGGGGGGUAAAGGCUCACCUAGGCGAAGAUCCCUAUCUGGUCUGAGAGGGUGACCAGCCAAACUGGAACUGAGACACGGCCCAGACUCCUACGGGAGGCAGCAGUGGGGAAUAUUGCACAAGGGGCGCAAGCCUGAUGCAGCCAUGCCGCGGGUAUGAAGAAGGCCUUCGGGUUGUAAAGUACUUUCAGCGGGGAGGCGUUACCCGCAGAAGAAGCACCGGCUAACUCCGUGCCAGCAGCCGCGGUAAUAC